UACGUAGGCUACAAGCGUUAUCCGGAGUUACUGGGCGUAAAGGGCGUGUAGGCGGUUUCGUAAGUCUGGCGUGAAAUUUCUCGGCUUAACCGAGGCAGGUCGUCGGAUACUGCGAGGCUAGAGGACGGUAGAGGCGUGUGGAAUUCCGGGUGUAGUGGUGAAAUGCGUAGAGAUCCGGAGGAACACCAGUGGCGAAGGCGACACGCUGGGCCGUACCUGACGCUGAUGCGCGACAGCAUGGGGAGCAAACAGG
rnacentral:rRNA from 1 species